UACGUAGCAGCGAGCGUUGUUCGGAGUUACUGGGCGUAAAGGGUGUGUAGGCGGUUGUUUAAGUUUGGUGUGAAAUCUCCCGGCUCAACUGGGAGGGUGCGCCGAAUACUGAAUGACUUGGAGUGCGGGAGAGGAAAGUGGAAUUCCUGGUGUAGCGGUGAAAUGCGUAGAUAUCAGGAGGAACACCGGUGGUGUAGACGGCUUUCUGGACCGUAACUGACGCUGAGACACGAAAGCGUGGGUAGCAAACAGG
rnacentral:rRNA from 1 species